rnacentral:rRNA from 1 species
UACGUAGGGUGCAAGCGUUUGUCCGGAAUUAUUGGGCGUAAAGAGCUUGUAGGCGGUUUGUCGCGUCUGCUGUGAAAUUUCGGGGCUCAACCCCGAACUUGCAGUGGGUACGGGCAGACUAGAGUGUGGUAGGGGAGACUGGAAUUCCUGGUGUAGCGGUGAAAUGCGCAGAUAUCAGGAGGAACACCGGUGGCGAAGGCGGGUCUCUGGGCCGUAACUGACGCUGAGGAGCGAAAGCGUGGGGAGCGAACAGG